GCUCGAAUGGCGGAAUUGGUAGACGCGCUACCUUGAGGGGGUAGUGGGCGAAAGCCCGUGGAGGUUCGAGUCCUCUUUCGAGCACCA
rnacentral:tRNA from 1 species